rnacentral:lncRNA from 1 species
AAGAGAAGCUUUUUAAUUCACCAAAAUUACUAAACUCUUAACACCAUGACCAAGAAACCGAAGACCUAACAAAUUAGUAGGUUACCACCAUAUCUCAAAAUUAAUGUUUAACCAUCAAUACAAUAAAGUAGGCAGCAAGAGUUAUUAAGAACAAGGACUCCCCACCACAUUAGCCGUAUCACCUAAUUCAGAACAUCAACCACACAUGUAACAUCCUAUAAGACACAUACUGGUUUCUAUUAUAUGUAUUUUUAGACCUUCACAAGCCCUCUUCUUCACCUGGCAUCCCAGUUUCAGCGUGCUUCAUACUGAAUAACUGUAGAAAUGAAAAAAGUCUUCUAGUCAACGUAACAAUACAAGCUUAGAUGAUUACACGAUGCAAACACUUUAACAGGUAAUGUUCACGCAAAAUUAUUAACAUUUUAUCAUGAAAUGAACAAAAAUUGCUGUUGGCUAUCAAUAUAGAAAUUAUUAACAAAAAUUUCUAUGUUAGUCCAUUAAUAUUUAAUUGAAAUGUUAUCCAUAACAAGCCUAUCGGAAAUGAAGUUCUAUAGAACUGAACUCGAGUAAUUACAACAAAAUUUAAACUAGAAUAGUCAUUGGCCAUAUAUUUACAUGGUUGAAUUAGGCAAAGAUCACACUGCUCAUCUCCUAGCAGGCUGAGACAACCAUGGAGUAGUUGUCAGUUGUCUUUACUUCAUCAUGCAAAUCAAUCCAGGCAGGCAAACUACAAUAUAUUUUACAUCAAUUAGAUGCAUCCAAUGUAGUUCCUAUUUUUCCUCUUUUUUCUUUGAUUUUAUUUUCAUUGACUAUUCCCAUAGUUCAUACACUCGGAUCUAUAAAGUAAUAUUUUUGAUCUUCUUCUCUUUGAAAGGCGGCUACAAUUUCUCUCUCUUCUGAAAAACAUUUCUCACUGUUAUCUUUGAGAAUUAUUGCAACUUAGGAUGCCGACGUAGAUGCUAUAGUCGCCAUUUUCUGGUACGUUGUCUGUGUGCGGCCCGCCAAGCAAAGACAAUGUUUUCGUGGUUUGGCUAUGGUCAUCGGUCUUCGAGAAUUUGUUGCAGUCGAGAGGAAGACUUUCGAUGUGGUAUCUGAAGGCAAAGGUACUAGGGGUUUUUGAGAAUAGGAGGGGGUUUCGGAAAUCUAUUUUCUAUCAGGAGGAGGACAUUGAGUGGUUAUUGCAGUGCUUUAGGGAGUUCAGAUGGUGAAAGAAGAUGGUGCUUGGGGAAGGAGCCGAAGGAAUAGUUGGAGAACUCUCAUGAUGAUGCUUAGCAGUAAUAGAAAUGGCAAGUUUCUGAUUCUCACAUAAAGGAAAGUGGAUGCUAGGGGGGAUGGGAAUAGGGUAUUUAUCCCUGAAGGGGAUAAGGCGGAAGGUUGGUGACAGAUGAUGGAUGCUCCUCAUGAGGUGGCUGGAGUGGCAUUGGUUCCGCUUGAGUGGGUUACAAAGAAAAAUUUGGCUCCGAAGAGGGAUGUGGUUAUAGCAAUAGAGCUGCUGGUCAAUGUGUUCAGAUGCCCAGAUUGUAUGAACGUGUUUGAGGCGAAAAUGGUGAAGCAACGGGGUGCAUCAUUUACUGAUGUCCUGUCCCAGUCUGAGAAGGGGGAGAAUCAGGCAAGGAAGGAGGGGAGUUCGGAUCUUACUGGAGCGGGUCGGGGCAAUUUGAAAUUUGAAAACAAAAGUGGGAGUGAUCACGUGAGGGAGGUUUGGGGGGAUGUUCCAGUUGGGUUCAUGAGAAAUAGGCCUAAGCCGGGUAACGCUUUUGGGCUGAAUGGGAAGAGGAGGCUCUCAUGGGCUGAAAAGGGUAAAUGGGUGACCACGCCAGCCCUAGCAAAAAAGCAGGGCAGAAACGGGUUCAGUUUUGGAGACCAAAAAAAACCGAAUCUCCAAAAGUUAAAACCCGGUUCAUGAAAAUGUGCCCCAUUCCCACAGUUGAGAAAGAGUCGACGGAAUCUAGGGGCUCAGGAGGAAUCUAAACUCAUCGAUGAAGGAGAAAUGAAGUUGAUGACGGCAGAGGUCAGUGUGGUGGAGAACAAAGCCAGGAAUGAAUCAAAUUGUUUGAAUGAAGAAUUAACUGAGAGGAACGGAUUGGAAGUAAGUGGGAGGGGAACAGAUUGGAAGUAAGUAGGAGGGAAAUAGAGGUUUCGGGGGACAUGGCGAGUAGGGAGAAGGAAAAGAAUUUGUGCGAUAUAGUGAUUAUGGAUGAGCCUUCCGAAGAGGUCUUGAACGUGACUCCAAUUCAAUGUGAUAUACUCUUUGAAUCCAGUGAUUGAAUCUGCUAGACAGAGGAGGGAUGCAUGCAACAUAUGUACCCUGAACGGGUUCAAAGGAACUUCCAAAAGGUCAGUAAAUUAUUUGAAGUUUCUUCUCUUGGUGUGGAUGAGAGAGUUCUUAGUUUGAUUGAGGAGAUUGAAAUGAAGCAUGUUGAGAAAUGAAAGUGUAAGACUUCGGUGAGAAAAGUAAAAAAAAAGCAGGGGGAGGGGGAAAGCAUAGAACUAAGAAGACUACAAUGCUCAGUUAAUUAUGAAGGAAAAAAGAGUGGUGGGAAGGGGGAGAGGAUUCUGUCUAGAGAUGUCAUUCCAUGAUCGGAAAAAUUAUAUCAUGGAAUGUGAGGGAACUGAAUGAUAAGAAGAAAAGGGGAGUGAUUAAAGGGUGCAUUGGAAGACGGAAACUUGAUGUUGUGUGUCUUCAAGAAACUAAAAUGGAGGAGAUUAACCAGGUUAUUAUCAGUGAUCUUCGGCAGAAUAGAAAGGUGAAGUGGGAGUUUCUUCAAGCGGUAAGUGUGGCUGGAGGGGUGGUUGUUAUGUAGGAUGGGGAUAAAUAUAAUUGUAAGGAGAUAGAAGUGGGUAGAGUUUCUU